rnacentral:rRNA from 1 species
GACGAACGCUGGCGGCGUGCUUAACACAUGCAAGUCGAACGAAGAGCGAUGGAAGCUUGCUUCUAUCAAUCUUAGUGGCGCACGGGUGGGUAACGCGUAAUCAACCUGCCCUUCAGAGGGGGACAACAGUUGGAAACGACUGCUAAUACCGCAUACGAUCUAAUCUCGGCAUCGAGGAUAGAUGAAAGGUGGCCUCUACAUGUAAGCUAUCACUGAAGGAGGGGAUUGCGGCUGAUUAGCCAGUUGGAGGGGUAACGGCCCACCAAGGCGAAGAUCAGUAGCCGGGCUGAGAGGAUGAACGGCCAAAUUGGGACUGAGACACGGCCCAGACGCCUACGGGAGGGAGCAGGGGGGAAUCUUCCGCAAUGGAGGAAAGUCUGACGGAGGAACGCCGGGGGAGUGAUGACGGCCUUCGGGUUGUAAAGCUCUGUUAAUCGGGACGAAAGGCCUUCUUGCGAAUAGUGAGAAGGAUUGACGGUACCGGAAGAGAAAGCCACGGCUAACUACGUG